GUUGCCAAUGCACACAUACUCCUUCUAGAGAACAGUAAAGCAAAGGGAAGGUACAUUUGCUCUGCUGUUGAAGUUACACCAGAUGAGCUAUUUGACUUCCUCUCAGCUAGGUAUCCUGAAUAUCGAAUACCUAACGUCGAUUCAUUGAGGGAGGUUGGAGGGAUUAAGCAUCCUAGCCUUUCAUCAAAGAAACUUUUGGAUAGUGGAUUCAAAU
rnacentral:misc_RNA from 1 species